ACAUGUGAGGGUGAUCUGGGACAUUUGUAACCUCAUUGAUUGCCAGGGUUGAUUCAGCUGAUCUGACUGGCUAGGUGGGUGUCCCCUUCCUCCCUCACCGCUCCAGGUGCGUCCCUCCUGAAGCUGCGUGCUGGGUCGAAGAGGACGGCCUUCCCCAAAUAGAGACAGACCAGUCUUCGGUGGAGGGUAUAUGAGUAGCUGCGCUCCCCUGAUAGAACCUCCAAACAAGCUCUCAAGGAAUAGCAUUAUGGACCCACUUAUGAGCCUCUACAGGACCUUGCCCUCAAUGUGGAACAACAAUGGUAGAGACUGUCCCACUCU
rfam:Erinaceus europaeus unplaced genomic scaffold scaffold00529, whole genome shotgun sequence